rnacentral:rRNA from 1 species
CCCAGACUCCUACGGGAGGCAGCAGUGAGGAAUAUUGGUCAAUGGUCGGGAGACUGAACCAGCCAAGCCGCGUGAGGGAUGAAGGUACAGAGUAUCGUAAACCUCUUUUGUCAGGGAACAAAGGCGGGGACGCGUCCCCGGAUGAGUGUACCUGAAGAAAAAGCAUCGGCUAACUCCGUGCCAGCAGCCGCGGUAAUACGGAGGAUGCGAGCGUUAUCCGGAUUUAUUGGGUUUAAAGGGUGCGCAGGCGGUCUGUUAAGUCGGGGGUAAAAUGUCGGGGCUCAACCCCGGCCUGCCGUUGAAACUGGCGGCCUCGAGUGGGCGAGAAGUAUGCGGAAUGCGUGGUGUAGCGGUGAAAUGCAUAGAUAUCACGCAGAACCCCGAUUGCGAAGGCAGCCUUCCGGCGCCCUACUGACGCUGAGGCACGAAAGUGCGGGGAUCGAACAGGAUUAGAUACCCUUGUA